rnacentral:rRNA from 1 species
AUACGGAGGAUCCGAGCGUUAUCCGGAUUUAUUGGGUUUAAAGGGUGCGCAGGCGGCCAUUUAAGUCAGCGGUUAAAUCGUGGGGCUCAACCCCAUUCUGCCGUUGAUACUGGGUGGCUUGAUUGCGGUCGAGGUUGGCGGAAUUCGUUGUGUAGCGGUGAAAUGCAUAGAUAUGACGAAGAACACCGAUUGCGUAGGCAGCUGACCAGACCGCAAAUGACGCUCAUGCACGAAAGUGCGGGGAUCGAACAGGAUUAGAUACCCUGGUAGUCCGCACAGUAAACGAUGAAUACUUGUUUUCGGCGAUAUAAUGUCGGAGGGAAAGCGAAAGCGAUAAGUAUUCCACCUGGGGAGUACGCCGGCAAAGGUGAAACUCAAAUGAAUUGGCGGG